GAGAUUCAUUAUUCAGCAGCACAUAUUCUAAAAUUAGAAUGGUGCAGAGAAGAUUUAGCAUGGCCCCUGCGCAAGGAUGACACACAAAUUUUUGUGAGGCAUUCCACACUUGU
rnacentral:snRNA from 1 species